rnacentral:rRNA from 1 species
GACGAACGCUGGCGGCGUGCUUAACACAUGCAAGUCGAACGGACAGGCCCUGCUUGCUGGGUACUCGAGUGGCGAACGGGUGAGUAACACGUGGGUGAUCUGCCCUGCACUUCGGGAUAAGCCUGGGAAACUGGGUUUACUACCGGUUAGAGGCAAUUUUUCUGGAGAUGGUUGGACAGUUUUUUAGGUGUAGGAUGAGCUCGCGGCCUAUCAGCUCGUUGAUGGGGUAAUGGCCUACCAAGGCGGCGACGGGUAGCCGGCCUGAGAGGGUGCCCGGCCACAAUGGGACUGAGGAACGGCGCAGACGCCUACGGGAGGCAGCAGUAGUGAAGAAUGCACAAUGGGGGCAAGACGGAUGCAGCGACGCCGCGUGGGGGAUGACGGACUUCGGGGUGUAAUCUCCUUUCGCUAGGGACGAAGCAUAUUGUGACGGUACCUAGAUAAGAAGCACCGGCUAACUACGUG